UACAGAGGUCUCAAGCGUUGUUCGGAUUCAUUGGGCGUAAAGGGUGCGUAGGCGGCGCGGUAAGUCGGGUGUGAAAUCUCGGAGCUUAACUCCGAAACUGCAUUCGAUACUGCCGUGCUUGAGGACUGGCGAGGAGACUGGAAUUUACGGUGUAGCGGUGAAAUGCGUAGAUAUCGUGAGGAACACCAGAGGCGAAGGCGGUUACCUGGACAGUUACUGACGCUCAGGCACGAAAGCGUGGGGAGCAAAAGGG
rnacentral:rRNA from 1 species